GAUGAACGCUGGCGGCGUGCCUAAUACAUGCAAGUCGAGCGAGCGGCGGACGGGUGAGUAAUGUAUGGGAAUCUGCCUGAUGGAGGGGGAUAACUACUGGAAACGGUCGCUAAUACCGCAUACAAUCAGAUGUGCCCAUAUGGGAUUAGCUAGUAGGUGGGGUAAAGGCUCACCUAGGCGACGAUCCCUAGCUGGUCUGAGAGGAUGACCAGCCACACUGGAACUGAGACACGGCCCAGAGUCCUACGGGAGGCAGCAGUGGGGAAUAUUGCACAAUGGGCGCAAGCCUGAUGCAGCCAUGCCGCGUGUAUGAAGAAGGCCUUCGGGUUGUAAAGUACUUUCAGCGGGGAGGCGUUACCCGCAGAAGAAGCACCGGCUAACUCCGUGCCAGCAGCCGCGGUAAUUC
rnacentral:rRNA from 1 species